rnacentral:rRNA from 1 species
AUUGAACGCUGGCGGCAUGCCUAACACAUGCAAGUCGAGCGAGCGGCGGACGGGCGAGUAAUGUAUGGGGAUCUGCCUGAUGGCGGGGGAUAAUUACUGGAAACGGUAGCUAAUACCGCAUACCCUCAGAUGAACCCAUAUGGGAUUAGCUAGUAGGUAAGGUAACGGCUUACCUAGGCGACGAUCCCUACCUGGUCUGAGAGGAUGAUCAGCCAGAGUGGGACUGAGACACGGCCCAGAGUCCUAGAGGAGGAAGCAGUGGGGAAUAUUGCACAAGGGGCGCAAGCCAGAGGCAGCCAUGCCGCGUGGGGGAUGAAGGCUUUCGGGUUGUAAACCUCUUUCGCUAUCGACCGGGUAGGUGGAGAAGAAGCGCCGGCUAACUACGUGCCAGCAGCCGCGGUAAUUC